GCCUGGCUGGCUUAGUUAGUAGAGCAUGUGACUCCUAAUCUCAGGGUCAUGAGUUCAAGCCCCAUGCUGAGUA
rnacentral:tRNA from 1 species